rnacentral:rRNA from 1 species
UACGGGGGGGGGCAAGCGUUGUUCGGAAUUACUGGGCGUAAAGGGCUCGUAGGCGGCCAACUAAGUCAGACGUGAAAUCCCUCGGCUUAACCGGGGAACUGCGUCUGAUACUGGAUGGCUUGAGUUUGGGAGAGGGAUGCGGAAUUCCAGGUGUAGCGGUGAAAUGCGCAGAUAUCAGGAGGAACACCAAUUGCGAAGGCAGCUCGCUGGGACGUUACUGACGCUGAGACGCGAAAGCGUGGGGAGCAAACAGG